UCUGUUUUUGAGGGAUUCAGAUUCUAAUAGUGGAAGACCUGGGCUGGAAAUCUGGCUUAGCCUUUAAUAUAUUUGUUGGGGUUUGCUGCAUAAGUGACGGU
ensembl:miRNA Mir6365 microRNA 6365